CAAGUACAUCUGAGUCAGCAAUUGUUGGGUUAAUGUUUAGACGAGUUGUAUAUAGAGAAUAAUACAUGGCAAAAUCCGUAUCAUAUGUCGUAUUAUCCCGAGACAUCAAUGUGGGUCUCAUUGGGGUCUAAGCGUGACGCGGGAUUGCCGAUAUUUUGUAAGCGUGACACGUGAAAGUCAAAUUAUUGCGUCGUGAAAACAGGAAAUGAGGUCUAGCGGGACCCGGGAAAUGACAUAAAAAGGAGAAUUGCUUACGUAUAUAGUGUAAGCGGGAUAUGGGAAUCUGACAAAACAGUUAGCGGGAUCCGGGAUCGGAACCCCCCAAUGAGACCCCCAUCAAUAUCAGCCCAAGGGCCUUUAGGCCCGAGGGAUGAUAUUGGUCGAGGGUGAUACGGCAUGUGAUACGGAUUUUGCCAUGUAUUAUACAUUUUAUUAUAUAUUUCAACAGAAG
rnacentral:lncRNA from 1 species